rnacentral:rRNA from 1 species
UACGGAGGGUGCAAGCGUUAUCCGGAUUCACUGGGUUAAAGGGUGCGUAGGUGGGUCUGUAAGUCAGUGGUGAAAUCUCCGAGCUUAACUCGGAAACUGCCAUUGAUACUAUAGGUCUUGAAUUAUCUGGAGGUGAGCGGAAUAUGUCAUGUAGCGGUGAAAUGCUUAGAUAUGACAUAGAACACCAAUUGCGAAGGCAGCUCACUACGGAUAUAUUGACACUGAGGCACGAAAGCGUGGGGAUCAAACAGG